rnacentral:rRNA from 1 species
AGUGGGGAAUAUUGCACAAUGGGGGAAACCCUGAUGCAGCAACGCCGCGUGAGUGAUGACGGCCUUCGGGUUGUAAAGCUCUGUCUUUGGGGACGAUAAUGACGGUACCCAAGGAGGAAGCCACGGCUAACUACGUGCCAGCAGCCGCGGUAAUACGUAGGUGGCAAGCGUUGUCCGGAUUUACUGGGCGUAAAGGGAGCGUAGGCGGAUUUUUAAGUGGGAUGUGAAAUACCCGGGCUCAACCUGGGUGCUGCAUUCCAAACUGGAAAUCUAGAGUGCAGGAGGGGAAAGUGGAAUUCCUAGUGUAGCGGUGAAAUGCGUAGAGAUUAGGAAGAACACCGGUGGCGAAGGCGACUUUCUGGACUGUAACUGACGCUGAGGCUCGAAAGCGUGGGGAGCAAA